rnacentral:rRNA from 1 species
UACAGAGGUGGCAAGCGUUGUUCGGAAUUACUGGGCGUAAAGGGCGCGUAGGCGGCUCUUCAAGUCAGCCGUGAAAUCUCCAGGCUUAACCUGGAAGGGUCGGUUGAUACUGGCGAGCUAGAGUGUGGAAGAGGCAACUGGAAUUCCGUGUGUAGCGGUGAAAUGCGUAGAUAUACGGAGGAACACAUGCGGCGAAGGCGGGUUGCUGGGCCAACACUGACGCUGAGGCGCGAAAGCUAGGGUAGCAAACGGG